AUGAGACUGUUUGGUCUUCUCCUGUGUCUGUUGACAGCUCCCCAAGGUGUCCUGUCCCAGGUGCAGCUGCAGGAGUCAGGAUCUGGCCUGGUGAAGCCCUCACAGACCCUGUCCCUCACCUGUGCUGUCUCUGGUUACUCCAUUACCAGUGAUUACUACUGGAGCUGUAUCUGCCAGCCUCUAGGGAAGAGCCUGAAGUGGAUGGCGUACAUAAGUUAUGGUGGAAGCAAUUACUACAGCACAUCCCUCAAAAGGGACGUCUCCAUCACCAGAGACACGUCCAAGAACCAGUUCUCCCUGCAGCUGAGCUCUGUGACCACAGAGGACACAGCUGUGUAUUACUGUGCAAUAGGCACCGUGAGGAGACUUCAGUGGAAACUCCACAGAGGGCAGUAUUUGGAGCUUCAGGAGAAGAAAGAGACUCCAUACUUUAAGACCUACCUGAGAGAAGAGACUUCCUAUAAGCACAAGCCUCCCCUACAUAUUGACCAAGUUGUGGAAGAUGCUGCAUCACAGCCGAGGUCAUGA